rnacentral:rRNA from 1 species
UAGCCGUAAACGAUACUCGCUAGGUGUCGGCCACGGUGCGACCGUUGUCGGUGCCGUAGGGAAGCCGUGAAGCGAGCCACCUGGGAAGUACGGCCGCAAGGCUGAACUUAAAGGAAUUGGCGGGGGAGCACAACAACGGGUGGAGCUUGCGGUUUAAUUGGAUUCAACGCCGGAAAUCUUACCGGGACCGACAGCAACAUGAAGGCCAAGCUGAAGACUUUGCCGGAUUAGCUGAGAGGUGGUGCAUGGCGUAGUCGUGU